AAAAAAAAAAAAAAAAAAAAUGGAAAACCAGUGACAACAGGGAAAUGGGGCUGGAAGGGAGAGAAGGAAGUGGCGACUUUAGCCAGAGAGAACUUCAGAGAGGAGCCAAGCCUCGGAGGAUAUGUGUGUGCUAGGUAGAAGAGAGUAACGUAUGUGCAAAGGCACAGGCAGAGAAGAGCACGGUCAGCCCAUGUCACCAGCGUCCCCUCCCUACUAAUCUCCUCCGAUGCCACAAAAAGGCUUGCAAGGCUCCUUAUUCAUUCUUCUAUAUAGAAAUGGCAUUGCCCAUUCAAUCUGGUCCAUAACAUCCAUUUCUUUCUCAACCUGGCAGGCAGAUUGAUCACUUCUCAGCCCUCACCUCUCAUAGGCUCUGCAAGUUGAGAGCAGAUGCUUGGAGCCAGUUAAGCCUGGGACUCGUAUCUCUAUCCCACACCUUCGAUGGGAAAAAAAAAAAAAAAAAAAAAAGACACACUUGUCAGCACAUUGGAAAUCAGGAGGCUGGGAGCACCAAUCCAUCAGGAGCCAACAUGGGGAACUGGCCUACCUGAGAAUGGAUGGAAUGCAGAACAGAGGGCAGAGCACAAAGGACCUACUAUGUGCUGGGCACAGUGCUAGACACUUCUUUGAAGUGGUUGAUUUGCAGCCACGCGUGGGAUUUAUUAUUAAUUUAACCCCAGGUGAAUCAAUCAGAGCUCACACAAUAGUAGUUUGUUCAAGGUCACACAGCACAGAAAGGGCUGGAGAAUCUUCCUGAUAGGCAUGGAGGUACCACAACCAAUGGAGGAACUAGCAUCCAAUGACUCCAGUGGUAUUCUUGAAUGCAGGAGAAUCUGAAGCCAGCAUCCACCUGAGAGACAGCCAAUGGCUACAGAACAGCAUCAUCACCCAUCUCCCUGUGAGGUGAAAGGACUCUCCCAAAGCCCUUCAGGAGUUGGGUACCACAGGUAAAACCCCAGAUCUCUUGGCUACUCUCUAGACAUAGCUACUUUCCCUGCAUACAGCUCGCCAUGAAGACUACCCUUUGUGACAUAAACAGGAUUUCUCCUAUUUGAACCCUGAGACAGGGAAGCCAGAGUCCUCUGGGGUUAAACACGCUAUUGAUGUGACAAGUCAACACCUCAUCCUUUGCUUACAGCCCAAGAAAAUUACAACAGUCCAGGGGUGACAGCUUCCGACCAGACAGACAUGGAGCCUCACACCCCCGCUGCCAUGCCUUCCUGCGGUGAUGGACAGCGCCCUUGAACGGACACGUUUUUCUGAAGUCUAAGAUAAACACACAGAGCCCUCUAUGUCUUAAGUGGCACAGUCGGGGAAUUUGACAUGCAAAGAAGCCAGCACCCACGUCAGGAAAGAGAUCAGCAGAACCUCGGAUGCCCAUCACAUCUGCUCCCUUUCAGCUACGGUCUGACUCUCAUCUUCAAGAUGGAGGGAAGCACUUAGACUCAAAGGCAGGGAGCGGUAUGUCAGUGAUUAUUACAUGGUAUUAACGGUAGCACGGCAUCAGGCAGCGGAAGGCAGGGAGGGAGAAGUCGUAGCACAAACUGAGGCUUUGGGACUAGCAGAGGCUGUGGGAAUGCAAACAGUGGAAGCAGUAGUAGCAGUAGAUGCUGCUG